rnacentral:rRNA from 1 species
GACGAACGCUGGCGGCGUGCUUAACACAUGCAAGUCGAACGCACCUUCGGGUGAGUGGCGGACGGGUGAGUAACGCGUAGGUAAUCUACUCUUCAGUGGGGGAUACCCAGCCGAAAGGUUGGUUAAUACCGCAUACGCUCCUGUGCAGAGAGGUACAGGAGGAAAGGUUUACUGCUGAGGAAUGAGCCUGCGUCCGAUUAGCUAGUUGGUGGGGUAAAGGCUCACCAAGGCGACGAUCGGUAGCUGGUCUGAGAGGACGAUCAGCCACACUGGAACUGAGACACGGUCCAGACUCCUACGGGAGGCAGCAGUGGGGAAUUUCCGCAAUGGGCGAAAGCCUGACGGAGCAACGCCGCGUGGGUGAUGAAGUUUUUCGGUAACGUAAAACCUUUACGUCCAGGGACGAAGCGAGUGACGGUACCUAGGAGAAGAAGCAUCGGCUAACUACGUGCCAGCAGCCGCGGUAAU